rnacentral:sRNA from 1 species
AAAGAAUAUCAAUACGUACACUAGAUAUAGAAAUCGGAAUUAGGUACGUUGUGAUCCAUUUCAGCUACUGUUAGGGGUAAGAUUUGGGCUUGCUUGGCCCAAGGCCCAAAUCCAAGUCAAAGGCCUAAGCAGAAUGUUAAGUCAAGAGGGUAGGCUCGUCAAAAUCCUGGAGGAGUGUCCUACACGCAGAAGGCUAUAAAUACGGAAUAGCAUGUCUUGUCAAAGGGGGAUUCCGCCGGACACGCAGAGACACAGAGCAGCUCGUCAGCUCACCCGUCCGAAGUAUCCCGCCAGCCGGUCCGUCUCAAGCAGCUCGUCAGCUCACCCGUCUCAAGCAGCUCGUCAGCUCUCCCCUCCGAAGUAUCCCGCCAGCCGGUCCGUAUCAAGCAGCUCGUCAGCUCACCCGUCUCAAGCAGCUCGUCAGCUCUCCCCUCCGAAGUAUCCCGCCAGCCGGUCCGUCUCAAACAGCUCGUCAGCUCACCCGUCUCAAGCAGCUCGUCAGCUCACCCGUCCGAAGUAUCCCGCCAGCCGGUCCGUCUCAAGCAGCUCGUCAGCUCACCCGUCUCAAGCAGAUCGUCAGCUCACCCGUCUCAAGCAGCUCGUCAGCUCUCCCCUCCGAAGUAUCCCGCCAGCCGGUCCGUCUCAAGCAGCUCGUCAGCUCACCCGUCUCAAUCAGCUCGUCAGCUCUCCCCUCCGAAGUAUCCCGCCAGCCGGUCCGUCUCAAACAGCUCGUCAGCUCACCCGUCCGAAGUAUCCCGCCAGCCGGUUCGUCUCAAGCAGCUCGUCAGCUCACCCGUCUCAAGCAGCUCGUCAGCUCACCCGUCUCAAGCAGCUCGUCAGCUCACCCGUCUCAAGCAGCUCGUCAGCUCACCCGUAUCAAGCAGCUCGUCAGCUCACCCGUCCAAAGUACCUCGUCUGCCCAUCCAUCUUGAGUAACUCGUUUACUCGUCCGUCCGAAGUGUCUCUCCGACCUGCCCGCCCAAAAUAACUAACCUACUCGCACGUCUCGAGAAGCCAUCCAGCUCGUCGCACAUCUGCCGGCUCGUCAAUUACCUGCCGACCUUCCUCCAAUAAUGGCCUAGCUCGUUUAUCACAAUAUGAACUACGUGUGGCUUGAUCCCUUUCUAAGGGUACGUAGGCAACCUUUUACAAGGUUCAGCUAUAAAACGAAUAAACUCUAUUCUUCCUCGGAAGAUCGUCUUCCGGCCUCAAGCUCGUCUUUCAUCUACAAUCGGCUCGUUCUUACUCCAUUUAUGCUCGUUGAAGAAAUCAUCAUUUGUAAUCCGUCCAAUCCGCCUAAGUCGCGGGCUCGUCAUUAAUAGAAAGAUUCUUCUUCCUUCCCUAGAGAUCCCAUUUUCGUACUUGUGUGAUUCGUGCAUCAACAGCUACCAUAAACUAUUAAUUGUAGUGAGUAAGUGGACUUUAGAUUCAUAUAGAGUUAUGCGAUUCGGUUGAACGUAUCAUACGAAUCUCAGUGUCUACCUAAUUAAUACACAUAUAAUGCAAAAAGAACAAACGCAUACUAUAGAUGAUAAGACGUGAUUGGACACAUUAAACACAUAGUUUACGGCAUUACAUAAACCGAUACACAUAAUUAAUUACGUGUUACUUCUGUGGCGUGUAGUAGAAAGACUAGCUGCAUAUGGCACCUAAUUAAUACUCAUAUAUGGUUCAUGCGAAAUGCUGAUAUGUAUAAGGUAAUAUAUACCACCACUUUGGUACCACAAUGCAACAUCUAAAUUCGAUUAUGAUAAGCUAUGAUAAGCUAUCUUCUCAAUAUCAAUUAAUCGCUUCUUUAUUCUAAUACCACUCCUUAAUAUAUGCCUAUCAUAUCAUUAUUUCACAACGCAUGUUUACUUUUGUUAUGAAAUAGUUUUGUUUAAAGGGUGGUAACGUAAUUUAUGGGUUCCAUUAGGAUUGUGAUUUAUUUUCUCUCCUCAUCCUUAUGCAUGUAAGAAUUUGCAUUUUUAUAAAUAUAUACUAUGAAUUCAGUCCAACCUUACAGUGUGAACAAUUUAAUUAAACGAAGCAUAAUCCUAAAAGAAAAUAAAACUAAAAAAAAAUAGUUAAGAUGGUAUAAGAUAAUUUUAUUAAGUUAAGAUGUUGCACUUUUCACUAAGUAAAUCAAACAUUUACAUAGUGAUUUGUCAUAAUGUGCAUAUUCCAUUUUUUCGGGUCUUUCAUUUCCAUAUUCCUCAGCUCUUUCAUAUAUUGAAGAUUGAAGAGAAUAAGAAAGACGCUUUUUAUAGGAAACGAAUUAAAGAGUGUUGACUUGCCGUAAAAGUAACUUAAAUUGUUCGUCGCCUGAGCAUGGAUUUAUAUAAACGUGAAGUACUAUACAAAACCCUAACCAACAUUUGAUCAAACGACAAUGAUGUCGGAACUUCCAGAGCAUUUGUUAGAAGAGAUACUCUACCGCGUUCCAGCUAUGUCUUUGAAACAGUUAGGGUCUACUUGCAAAGGAUGGAACUGUUUAUUCAAGGAUAGGAGAUUCACAAGAAAACACUUGGAUAAAGGCCCAAAGCAGUUUCUGAUUCACAUGUCUAAAGGGCUUAGGGUACGCUCGAUGAGUGUCGAUCUCCAUAGACUUCCACAUGUAAAAGUCACAGUUGAAUUUACCCUAAUCAACCCUAAAUAUCCUAGUUGUCUAGAUCAAGAUCAAUUCGAGAUAUAUAAAGUCUCUCACUGCGACGGCUUAUUGUUAUGCGUCUGCGUCACCAAGGAGGACAAUACUUGGCUCGCGGUAUGGAACCCGUGUACUGGUCAAACAAGGUGGAUUCAACCCAUGACUUAUAUGACAACUAUACUCUCGGAUCCUACCAAAAUAAUAGCUACAAUAUAUUGGCACACACUGGUUUUGGCUACGACCACGAAUUCCAAAUUUAUGAAAUUAACUCCAAUUCAUGGAGGAUUAUUGAUGCCACUUUGGACUUCAAAUUAGGGUAUAUUGGUCGUGGCGUGUCUUUGAAGGGAAAGACUUACUGGAUUGCUAGUGGUGAAGAAGAGAAACGGCUUGGCAAAUUCUUAAUCAGUUUUGAUUAUACGACAGAAAGAUUUGAACGUCUAUGUCUUCCGAAUAAGUAUCCUUGUUAUGCAACUCUGGCUCUAUCCGUUGUUAGAGAAGAGAAACUUUCCAUGUUAUCGCAACGCGGAAUUAAAUCAAAGGCAGAAAUAUGGGUGACAAAUAAGAUUGGUGAGACACAAGUGGUGUCGUGGAGCAUGGUCUUAGCUUUGGAUUUGCAGCCUAAACGUUGUAUUGGGGAAAGCGGAAGUUUCUUGGUCGACGAGAAGAAGAGAGUGGUCGUGUGUUGUGAUAAUAUUAGAGACCAAGGAAAAACCACGGUACACAUUUUUGGAGAGGACAACAAAGUGAAACAAGUGGGUUUUGAAGUCGGAUCAUCUCUGUAAUGUAUGUUUUAUUAUGUUCCAAGUUUGACUCAAAUCUACCAAGGUAUCACAGGCAAAAGAAAAAGGGACGAAUGAUCAUAGUGUUUGGUGUGGAUCUUGGAGCAACUAUCAGAUUUUUCAAUUAUGAUAAGUUUUCUUCUCAAUUUCAAUUAAUCGCUUCUUUAUGCCAUAAUUUAGAGGCAAUUGCUGUAAUAUUUCUAAAUUUUUUAGGCAUUCUUUACUUUGUACUUCUCCUUUUAAUUAUAUAGGUAGAUUUGAUGAUAAUUAGAAGAUUAAGACUUCAAAAAUGGAGAUUAUGUGAAAUUGAGAAAAGCAUCACACAAAGAAAAUGGUUUUUGGUGGAACAAUUGGGAUAUUUGCAUAACAUGAAUUUUGAUUCCGGUUUACUAUACAUUAUUUGUUUCUUGAUUCCGGUUUAGUAUAUCCUAGUACUUACUUAAAUCAAUAAUCCGGGCAUGGUUAAAAUUAAUCAGACGUUGAAUCAAUGAGACUCC